rnacentral:snRNA from 1 species
AUACCUUUCUCGGCCUUUUGGCUAAGAUCAAGUGUAGUAUCUGUUCUUAUCAGUUUAAUAUCUGAUACGUGGGCCAUUGGCUCACAUGAUAUUAAAAUUAUUUUUAAAGGGGGAGAGUCCAUCACAGUAGCUAGCUACUGGGGCUCUUGAGCGUCGCCCAGGCGUUAGCUUGCUACUGGGAUUCUCGAGCGUCGUCCAGGUUUUGCGCCACUGCUUGGGCCUGGCGCACCACAC